rnacentral:rRNA from 1 species
AUACGGAGGAUGCGAGCGUUAUCCGGAUUUAUUAGGUUUAAAGGGUGUGUAAGCGGUAUUUUAAGUCAGUGGUGAAAUCUCGGAGCUUAACUUCGAAACUGCCAUUGAUACUGGAAUACUUGAGUAUAGUUGAGGUAGGCGGAAUAUGUAAUGUAGCGGUGAAAUGCAUAGAUAUUACAUAGAACACCGAUUGCGAAGGCAGCUUACUAAACUAUUACUGACGCUGAUGCACGAAAGCGUGGGGAGCGAACAGGAUUAGAAACCCUAGUAGUCC